CCUACGGGUGACUGCAGUGAGGAAUAUUGGUCAAUGGACGAGAGUCUGAACCAGCCAAGUAGCGUGAAGGAUGACUGCCCUAUGGGUUGUAAACUUCUUUUAUAUGGGAAUAAAACAGGGUAUGCAUACCCUCUUGUAUGUACCAUAUGAAUAAGGAUCGGCUAACUCCGUGCCAGCAGCCGCGGUAAUACGGAGGAUCCGAGCGUUAUCCGGAUUUAUUGGGUUAAAGGGGAGCGUAGGUGGAUUGUUAAGUCAGUUGUAAAAGUUUGCACUCAACCGUAAAAUUGCAGUUGAAACUGGCAGUCUUGAGUACAGUAGAGGUGGGCGGAAUUCGUGGUGUAGCGGUGAAAUGCUUAGAUAUCACGAAGAACUCCGAUUGCGAAGGCAGCUCACUGGACUGCAACUGACACUGAUGCUCGAAAGUGUGGGUAUCAAACAGGAUUAGAUACCCGAGUAGUC
rnacentral:rRNA from 1 species